rfam:Klebsormidium nitens mitochondrial DNA, contig: KFL_3731.
GCAUUCUUAGCUCAGAUGGAUAGAGCGAUAACCUUCUAAGUUAGUUGUCACAGGUUCGAGCCCUGUAGAGUGCA